AUCUUUUUCGUAUAAUGACAGUAUAAAUGCCUUCCAAGCAUUUGGACUUGGUUUGAACCCAAGAAAAGAUA
rnacentral:tRNA from 1 species